rnacentral:rRNA from 1 species
CCUACGUGCUGCAGCAGUGGGGAAUAUUGGACAAUGGGCGAAAGCCUGAUCCAGCCAUGCCGCGUGUGUGAAGAAGGCCUUCGGGUUGUAAAGCACUUUCAGUGGGGAAGAAAGCCUUGGGGCUAAUACCCUCGAGGAAGGACAUCACCCACAGAAGAAGCACCGGCUAACUCCGUGCCAGCAGCCGCGGUAAUACGGAGGGUGCGAGCGUUAAUCGGAAUUACUGGGCGUAAAGCGCGCGUAGGCGGUCUGAUAAGCCGGUUGUGAAAGCCCCGGGCUCAACCUGGGAACGGCAUCCGGAACUGUCAGGCUAGAGUGCAGGAGAGGAAGGUAGAAUUCCCGGUGUAGCGGUGAAAUGCGUAGAGAUCGGGAGGAAUACCAGUGGCGAAGGCGGCCUUCUGGACUGACACUGACGCUGAGGUGCGAAAGCGUGGGUAGCAAACAGGAUUAGAUACCCUGGUAGUC